AGCAGUGUGGCGCAAUGGUAGCGUGCUGGGCCCAUAACCUAGAGGUCGAUUGGAUUGAAACCAUCCUCUGCUA